rnacentral:misc_RNA from 1 species
GUAGGUGAACCUGCGGAAGGAUCAUUAUCACGUAAUAAUCCACGUUAUAAACCCUUCUUUGAAUUGUUUAAACUACUAAAUUUCUGGAACAGCUUUCGUAGCUGGAAUGCUUUUGGAUUGGGAUAUGGAAAUUUUAACAGAACACUGUUUGGUAAAUUUAUUUAUCAAACUGAAAUGGGAAAAUUAUUGUAAUUUGAGAUCCAAGAGUACUGUUAAUAGUUCAUAACCAGCAAUUCGCUAGCGUCUAAGA